rnacentral:rRNA from 1 species
AGAGCGAACGCUGGCGGCAGGCCUAAUACAUGCAAGUCGAGCGGUCCCUUCGGGGGCAGCGGCGGACGGGUGAGUAACGCGUGGGAACGUGCCCUUUGGUACGGAACAACUGAGGGAAACUUCAGCUAAUACCGUAUGUGCCCUUCGGGGGAAAGAUUUAUCGCCAUUGGAGCGGCCCGCGUUGGAUUAGGUAGUUGGUGAGGUAAAGGCUCACCAAGCCUACGAUCCAUAGCUGGUCUGAGAGGAUGAUCAGCCACACUGGGACUGAGACACGGCCCAGACUCCUACGGGAGGCAGCAGUAGGGAAUCUUGCGCAAGUGGGCGAAAGCCUGGACGCAGCCAUGCCGCGUGAAUGAUGAAGGUCUUAGGAUUAGUAAAUUCUUCGACGGGACGAUAUGACGGUACCGAGAAGAACGCCCGGACUACUCGUGCCAGCAGCCGC